GAGGGUAUAGCUCAAAGUGGUGGAGUGCAUGCUUAGUAUGCACAGGAUCCUGGGUCCAAUCCCCAGUACCUCCU
rnacentral:tRNA from 1 species